rnacentral:rRNA from 1 species
UACGGGGGGGGCAAGCGUUGUUCGGAAUUACUGGGCGUAAAGGGCUCGUAGGCGGCCAACUAAGUCAGACGUGAAAUCCCUCGGCUUAACCGGGGAACUGCGUCUGAUACUGGAUGGCUUGAAUCCGGGAGAGGGAUGCGGAAUUCCAGGUGUAGCGGUGAAAUGCGUAGAUAUCAGGAGGAACACCGGUGGCGAAGGCGGUUCUCUGGGCAUGUCCUGACGCUGAGGUACGAAAGCGUGGGGAGCGAACAGG